UAACACGUAGGUAACCUACCUAUAAGACUGGGAUAACUUCGGGAAACCGGAGCUAAUACCGGAUAAUAUUUCGAACCGCAUGGUUCGAUAGUGAAAGAUGGCUUUGCUAUCACUUAUAGAUGGACCUGCGCCGUAUUAGCUAGUUGGUAAGGUAACGGCUUACCAAGGCAACGAUACGUAGCCGACCUGAGAGGGUGAUCGGCCACACUGGAACUGAGACACGGUCCAGACUCCUACGGGAGGCAGCAGUAGGGAAUCUUCCGCAAUGGGCGAAAGCCUGACGGAGCAACGCCGCGUGAGUGAUGAAGGUCUUCGGAUCGUAAAACUCUGUUAUUAGGGAAGAACAAACGUGUAAGUAACUGUGCACGUCUUGACGGUACCUAAUCAGAAAGCCACGGCUAACUACGUGC
rnacentral:rRNA from 1 species